rnacentral:lncRNA from 1 species
GACGAUCCAUGGGGUCCUUUGCCCCGUGUCACCCAGGCGGCCGGUUGCCCUCUCCAAAAUAACCAAAAGUAUUUCUUCUGUGUCCUUCCGAGCAAGUACUUUUCUCUCGUCUUUCUCUUUGUGGACAGAGGUCUUGUUUGUCUUUUCCAGGAGACACUGGAGGAGUCUUAAUAUUCAAAUCCCAAAGGGGAUAGAUUCUAAGAUGGCACCUGUGCUCCUGUCUGCUGAGGUCUCAGGCAGGGGAGGACCCAGAGGCUCAGAGGCAAGAUGUCGAUUCUCAAAGGGAUUUCCACCACAAAAGAUAGCUAAUGCCGACUGUCUUUCAUCUUGCCCCAGACUCCCGUCCUCAGCAGCUGAGCCCUGGUUCCUCUGUGAUGUGCUAAGAGAAAUAAAAGGCUCAGAAGUGGUAAGCAGUGGAGGAAGAAACACAUGGCUCAGUUGGGUGAAUAGAUGAACCACUGGCAUACUACCGCGCUCAAAACUUAUUUCAUUUUUAUUCACAUGGUUCAUGCAAGGAAGAAUGAGCUUAGAGAUGAAAGAUUUGGUUCAAGUUCUAGCUCCUCCACGAUGUGACCUUGAAGGUAAUAGAAUCUCUUCAAAUCUUAGUUUCUCCAUCUAUAAAAUUAUAAUAGUGGUUAAGAAUUAGGGGGGGAGGUUUACCAAAUUCUACUUGUCUAAUUAUGUCUUUAAAUAUUUGCUCUAAAGUGAAUCUAAAAUGAAUGUUAUUUAAUAUAUAAGCUUAAUGUAUUAUAGUAUCAAUAGCUGUUAUUUAUUUAUUUAACUUUUUGAGGAAGAUUAGCCCUGAGCUAACUACUGCUAAUCCUCCUCUUUUUGCUGAGGAAGACUGGCCCUGAGCCAACACCCGUGCCCAUCUUCCUUUACUUUAUAUGUGGGAUGCCUACCACAGCAUGGUUUUGCCAAGCAGUGCCAUGUCGGUACCUGGGAUCCAAACCGGUGAACCCCGGGCCCCCAAAGUGGAACGUGCACACUUAACUGCUGCACCACCAGGCCGGCCCCUCAGUAGCUGUAUUAAUUGAACAUUUUCCAUGUGCCUGUGACUACAAAGCGCUUUAAUAAUGGUACUGAUGUUAAUAAUAAUAAACUCACUGCAUGCCUGCCA